GAUGCAACCUUAAUCUGGGUGGACACCAUCCCCUUGGCUGCCAGUGCAGCUAGAAACAGCAGGCAGAAGAAGGUGGAGUGAGCAGACUUGCUGAGUCUUCUGGCCUUUAUCUUUCUCCUGUGCUGGAUGUUUCCUGCCCUCAAACACCAGACUCCAAGUUCUUCGGCUUUUAGGCUCUUGGACUUACACUAGUGGUUUACUAGGGGCCCUUGGGCUUUUGGCCACAGAUUGAAGGCUGCAUUGUCCAUUGCCUGCUUCCCUACUUUUGAGGUGUUGGGACUCGGACUGAACCACUGCUGGCUUCCUUGCUUCUCAGCUUUCAGACAGCCUAUCAUGGGACGUCACCUUGUGAUCAUAUGUUUUACCUGUUUUGUUGGCAUGCACAACUUGAGGUAAGCCUGUUUCAUCUUAUGAGAUUGAAACAAAACUCUUUUUGAGCAUAAGUAUAGAAUUGGACAAUUCAGAGCAAUUAGUGCUCUUAUUGUCUCAGUGGGCUCCUUUGAAAUGUUUAUAGUAGGC
rnacentral:lncRNA from 10 species